GGGUAUGAGAGUGAGCUGGCUGCAACAUCUGUCAUUCCAUUGAUUGCCAGGCUGGCUUCAUUAGUUCUGGCUGGCUAGGCUAGGGUAUCCUUUCUCCCUUACCUUUCCAAAUGCAUCUCUUCUCAAGCUGCAUGCUCUGUCAAAGAGGGCAUGCUUCUCUAGUAGGGUGGAUCAUUCUUCAGAGAAGAGUAUAAUUUAUUAUCGGAGUAUUAUUAUUUAUUAUUGGAGAAUAACCCAACUUCAUUCAAGAGCACCUAAAUGAUCUCUUAGUUCUUUUU
rfam:Felis catus isolate Cinnamon breed Abyssinian chromosome C1, whole genome shotgun sequence.